UGCGCAGGCGGCUUUUCAAGUCGGAUGUAAAAUCUCCUGGCUCAACUGGGAGGGACCAUCCGAUACUGUUAGGCUCGAGUGCAACAGAGGAGAGUGGAAUUCCCGGUGUAAUGGUGGAAUGUGUAGAUAUCGGGAGGAACACCAGUGGCGAAAGCGGCUCUCUGGGUUGUUACUGACGCUGAUGCACGAAAGCGUGGGAGCAAACAGGAUCAGAUACCCUGGUAGUCCACGCUGUAAACUAUGGACACUGGGUACGAGGGAGUAUCGACCCUCUCUGUGCCGAAGCUAACGCGUUAAGUGUCCCGUCGUGGGGACUACGGCCGCAAAGGUUAAA
rnacentral:rRNA from 1 species